rnacentral:rRNA from 1 species
GAUCAUGGCUCAGGACGAACGCUGGCGGCGCGCCUAACACAUGCAAGUCGAACGGAGUUAUUUUGGCAGAAGCCUUCGGGUGGACGCUGAUAUAACUUAGUGGCGAACGGGUGAGUAACACGUGAGCAACCUGCCCUUCAGAGGGGGACAACAGUUGGAAACGACUGCUAAUACCGCAUAAGACCACGGUGUGGCAUCACACAGAGGUCAAAGGAGAAAUCCGCUGAAGGAUGGGCUCG